rnacentral:tRNA from 1 species
GGGGUUGUGGCUCAGUGGUAGAGCUUGCCUAGCAUGCGUGAGGCCCUGGGUUCAAUCCUCAGUACCCCA